CACCCCUCCCCCAGGGCGUCACGUGAGUCCAGGUACUCGCGCCACAGUCAAUGUCGCGGGACAGCAGGAAGCCGCUAUGACGGAGCAACCUGUAAGGUGGCCCUGAGUGGAUGAUUGAGGAGAGGGCCUACACAGAGGGAAGGAAGAUGAGAUGUCUGAUGAUGGAGGGACAGUGGGGACUAGGUUGGUCUCACAGAGCAUUUUAUCAUCUCGUACAAAGGUUAGUUAUAUUUUCGUAUGUUUUACGUACAUAUACAACAGUGUCAGCUAGUGACUCUAAAAAUUGGGGAGAACAGGAGGAAAACCAACGCAUGGCAUCAUGUUAUUUUACAUUAGUUGGCUCCGUGUCUCUAUGUUCAGGUUAUGUUAUAUUCUUAUGUUAAAAUGCAGGGCUGUACAGAGACCUUUAGAGGGGCAGCUGCUCAAUGUUAAAAAAAGGGAACAUGAAACAAGAUUUUAUAACAUCAUAUAACAUCAUAUCCCAACAUCAUUUAUAACAUAACCUGUAGAAUAAUAGCAACUCAUAUUCAAACAGCAUGUAAUAUGAAAUAUUAGGACAAACCACAUCAUACUAUAUCAUUGCACAAUUUUAUUUGUCUUUCACUGAAUUGCAUAUAAAACAAUUUUCUUUCAAAAACAAAAACUCCUGAGUGGUGAAGAGGCUGCUCUUCUAAAGACAUUUAACACAUAUUGUUUCUAAACAAAGAAGUGUUCAUUUUACCAACAAAGUUAAAUAAAGUUAACUUC